rnacentral:rRNA from 1 species
UACGUAGGGUGCAAGCGUUAAUCGGAAUUACUGGGCGUAAAGCGUGCGCAGGCGGCUUUGCAAGACAGAUGUGAAAUCCCCGGGCUUAACCUGGGAACUGCAUUUGUGACUGCAUGGCUCGAGUGCGGCAGAGGGGGAUGGAAUUCCGCGUGUAGCAGUGAAAUGCGUAGAGAUGUGGAGGAAUACCGAUGGCGAAGGCAGCCCCCUGGGAUAACACUGACGCUCAUGCACGAAAGCGUGGGGAGCAAACAGG